rnacentral:rRNA from 1 species
CCUACGGGAGGCAGCAGUGGGGAAUAUUGCACAAUGGGCGCAAGCCUGAUGCAGCCAUGCCGCGUGUGUGAAGAAGGCCUUCGGGUUGUAAAGCACUUUCAGCGGGGAGGAAGGCGGUGAGGUUAAUAACCUCAUCGAUUGACGUUACCCGCAGAAGAAGCACCGGCUAACUCCGUGCCAGCAGCCGCGGUAAUACGGAGGGUGCAAGCGUUAAUCGGAAUUACUGGGCGUAAAGCGCACGCAGGCGGUCUGUCAAGUCGGAUGUGAAAGCCCCGGGCUCAACCUGGGAACUGCAUUCGAAACUGGCAGGCUAGAGUCUUGUAGAGGGGGGUAGAAUUCCAGGUGUAGCGGUGAAAUGCGUAGAGAUCUGGAGGAAUACCGGUGGCGAAGGCGGCCCCCUGGACAAAGACUGACGCUCAGGUGCGAAAGCGUGGGGAGCAAACAGGAUUAGAUACCCGAGUAGUC